GGUUGAUGGAGGUGGUGGUGGUGGUGGUGGUGGAGUUUUGGGUGAUUGUGAUGGUUGUUGUCGUGGUGGGGUUGGUGAUGGUGUUAGUGGUGGUGGAGGUGGCGCUGGAGGUGUGAGUGGUGUGGUGGUGUUAGUGCAGGUGGUGCAGGAGACGGUGGUGACGGGCUGAAGAAGGGGUCUUGAUCGUCACGGUAGGUCUGGGACAGGGCUCACUGGGCUCAGACCAGUCUGCUCACUGGGCUCAGACCAGUCUGCUCACUGGGCUCAGACCAGUCUGCUCACUGGGCUCAGACCAGUCUGCUCACUGGGCUCAGACCCGUCUAGUCACUGGGCUCAGACCCGUCUAGUCACUGGGCUCAGACCAGUCUAGUCACUGGGCUCAGACCAGUCUGCUCACUGGCCUCAGACCAGUCUGCUCACUGGGCUCAGACCAGUCUAGUCACUGGUCCCAGACCAGUCUGUUCACUGGUCUCAGGGGUGUACUGGGUCGGUCCUCUCUCUCCCGCUCGGUGAUGCUGUUCUUUAAGGCGUUCCUCCGUCUUGUAAAGUAAAUCAUCAUCGGUCUGUUGGGUCAUACCUCUGCAAAUUGACCCAGUGAUUUUUUUGCAUAUUCUAGAGGCUAAUUUAAAACAAAUAUAAACGUACACAAAGUACAAAAGGUAAGGGAGAAGAAGAAUCAUGUAAAAUUCUGUCCUCUGUCUAUUUUCGUAAAUUAUGUUUAAGACAAACUAUUUAUUUAUCUACGGAUUUACAAAUUGAAUGGAAUUGCUGAAAUGAAAUAAAGUAAUUUCUAUGUAUUAUCCAGCCAGCCCCAACCGUGGGGUCAGGCCCCCAUUAGAGGAGCUGCUGUUUCCUGUCCCGUUUGAUGGAUCUAUUAGCAUCUAAUCACAUUCUGGGGCUGGGGACACAGAGAUGUGUUGGAGAAAGGAGGAAGGUUUCUCUGUUUCCUUCAGAGAAACGCCCGCAGCUCCUGCCUGAUCCUUGAUUCACUCUGCGUCGCUGAGGAUCAAAGCUCGGCUAGUGAAGGUUUAAUACAGCUUGUUCUGCGGGCGGACUUUGGAGAAAUACAUCAGUACAGCCCAGGACUACCACCUCUAAGGAUCACCCUGUCCUACACCUGCCCUUCUCAUCAGGCACAAACAUCAGCUGCCACCACAGUUACCUCAGAACACCAGGGGCCACCUUUUAAAUCUCC
ensembl:lncRNA